rnacentral:rRNA from 1 species
GACGAACGCUGGCGGCGUGCUUAACACAUGCAAGUCGAACGGAAAGGCCCUGCUUUUGUGGUGUGCUCGAGUGGCGAACGGGUGAGUAACACGUGAGUAACCUGCCCUUGACUUUGGGAUAACUUCAGGAAACUGGGGCUAAUACAGUAUAGGAUCUCCUGCUGCGUGGUGGGGGUUGGAAAGUUUCGGCGGUUGGGGAUGGACUCGCGGCUUAUCAGCUUGUUGGUGGGGUAGUGGCUUACCAAGGCUUUGACGGGUAGCCGGCCUGAGAGGGUGAACGGCGACAGUGGGACUGAGAGACGGCCCAGACUGCUACGGGAGGCAGCAGUGGGGAAUAUUGCACAAUGGGAGGAAGCCUGAUGCAGCAACGCCGCGUGCGGGAUGACGGCCUUCGGGGUGUAAACCGCUUUAGCCUGUGACGAAGCGGGAGUGACGGUAAUGGGUAAAGAAGCACCGGCUAACUACGUG